CUCAGGGCAGCCAGGAGCAAAGAAUCAUCUGAUGCCUUCCAAGGCAGAACAUCUCACUGCCUCACAGGCAAAUCAGGACUUUAUUUCCGAGAAGCCCUCGGAAUCUCCGCCACCGCUCCGGACACAUUUCCUGGAUCUCUCUUGGUUUCUGUCUUCAAUUCACCCACGUAGAUGCAGCCUAAGAGCAGAGAACCUGCCAGGUCUUUCCCCAGGACACCAGCGUGUUAUAUAUAAAGCUGACCCUUUCCCCAUGCUAACAGCAUCCUAGCUCAUGGAAAACCUUCAUCCAGUUGAGGAACUGACCUAUGCCUGGUCCUCCCCAGCACCCUGGGAAAGCUGGGACAGUGCCAAAUCCCUGUGGCACCGAGGCUAAAGCGAUUGCUCAAUGACUGGAACUUCAUCAAGGGACAACACAACUGGGGAAAGAGCCUGAUUCUCCUGCCAUGAAUGCCUUUCCAGCUGGAUUCAAAGGCCCUGGGUAUUGUGCAGGGAAUGCUGAUGGGACACCUGGGGACACAAA
rnacentral:lncRNA from 1 species